rnacentral:rRNA from 1 species
UCUANGGGGGGCUGCAGUGAGGAAUAUUGGUCAAUGGCCGAAAGGCUGAACCAGCCAUCCCGCGUGCAGGAUGACGGCCCUAUGGGUUGUAAACUGCUUUUGUACCUGAAGAAACCUGUUUACGUGUAGACAGUUGCCGGUAAGGUAUGAAUAAGCAUCGGCUAACUCCGUGCCAGCAGCCGCGGUAAUACGGAGGAUGCAAGCGUUAUCCGGANUCAUUGGGUUUAAAGGGUGCGCAGGUGGGAAAAUAAGUCAGUGGUGAAAUACUGCCGCUUAACGGUAGAAUUGCCAUUGAUACUGUUUUUCUUGAGUAUGGUUGAGGUAGGUGGAAUGUGUUGUGUAGCGGUGAAAUGCAUAGAUAUGACACAGAACGCCGAUUGCGAAGGCAACUUACUAAGCCAUUACUGACGCUGAGGCACGAAAGCGUGGGGAUCAAACAGGAUUAGAUACCCUUNUAGUC